rnacentral:rRNA from 1 species
GACGAACGCUGGCGGCGUGCUUAACACAUGCAAGUCGAACGGAAAGGCCCUGCUUUUGUGGGGUGCUCGAGUGGCGAACGGGUGAGUAACACGUGAGUAACCUGCCCUUGACUUUGGGAUAACUUCAGGAAACUGGGGCUAAUACCGGAUAGGAGCUCCUGCUGCAUGGUGGGGGUUGGAAAGUUUCGGCGGUUGGGGAUGGACUCGCGGCUUAUCAGCUUGUUGGUUGGGGAGUGGCUUACCAAGGCUUUGGCGGGUAGCCGGCCUGAGAGGGUGACCGGCCACAUUGGUACUGCGAUACGGCCCAGACUCCUACGGGAGGCAGCAGUGGGGAAUAUUGCACAAUGGGCGGAAGCCUGAUGCAGCAACGCCGCGUUCGGGAUGACGGCCUUCUGGUUGUAAACCGCUUUCGCCUGUGACGAAGCGUGAGUGACGGUAAUGGGUAAAGAAGCACCGGCUAACUACGUG